UACGUAGGGUGCGAGCGUUGUCCGGAAUUAUUGGGCGUAAGGAGCUUGUAGGCGGUUUGUCGCGUCUGCUGUGAAAAUCCGAGGCUCAACCUCGGACUUGCAGUGGGUACGGGCAGACUAGAGUGUGGUAGGGGAGACUGGAAUUCCUGGUGUAGCGGUGGAAUGCGCAGAUAUCAGGAGGAACACCGAUGGCGAAGGCAGGUCUCUGGGCCACUACUGACGCUGAGAAGCGAAAGCAUGGGGAGCGAACAGG
rnacentral:rRNA from 1 species